rnacentral:rRNA from 1 species
ACUCCUACGGGAGGCAGCAGUAGGGAAUCUUCCACAAUGGGCGCAAGCCUGAUGGAGCAACACCGCGUGAGUGAAGAAGGGUUUCGGCUCGUAAAGCUCUGUUGUUAAGGAAGAACACGUAUGAGAGUAACUGUUCAUACGUUGACGGUAUUUAACCAGAAAGUCACGGCUAACUACGUGCCAGCAGCCGCGGUAAUACGUAGGUGGCAAGCGUUAUCCGGAUUUAUUGGGCGUAAAGAGAGUGCAGGCGGUUUUCUAAGUCUGAUGUGAAAGCCUUCGGCUUAACCGGAGAAGUGCAUCGGAAACUGGAUAACUUGAGUGCAGAAGAGGGUAGUGGAACUCCAUGUGUAGCGGUGGAAUGCGUAGAUAUAUGGAAGAACACCAGUGGCGAAGGCGGCUACCUGGUCUGCAACUGACGCUGAGACUCGAAAGCAUGGGUAGCGAACAGGAUUAGAUACCCCUGGUAGGAUAGCG